GUAGGGCGGGACACGUGGUAUCCUGUCUGAAUAUGGGGGGACCAUCCUCCAAGGCUAAAUACUCCUGACUGACCGAUAGUGAACCAGUACCGUGAGGGAAAGGCGAAAAGAACCCCGGCGAGGGGAGUGAAAAAGAACCUGAAACCGUGUACGUACAAGCAGUGGGAGCCCUGAUUUAUCAGGGUGACUGCGUACCUUUUGUAUAAUGGGUCAGCGACUUAUAUUCUGUAGCAAGGUUAACCGAAUAGGGGAGCCGGAGGGAAACCGAGUCUUAACUGGGCGUUAAGUUGCAGGGUAUAGACCCGAAACCCGGUGAUCUAGCCAUGGGCAGGUUGAAGGUUGGGUAACACUAACUGGAGGACCGAACCGACUAAUGUUGAAAAAUUAGCGGAUGACUUGUGGCUGGGGGUGAAAGGCCAAUCAAACCGGGAGAUAGCUGGUUCUCCCCGAAAGCUAUUUAGGUAGCGCCUCGUGAAUUCAUCUCCGGGGGUAGAGCACUGUUUCGGCAAGGGGGUCAUCCCGACUUACCAACCCGAUGCAAACUGCGAAUACCGGAGAAUGUUAUCACGGGAGACACACGGCGGGUGCUAACGUCCGUCGUGAAGAGGGAAACAACCCAGACCGCCAGCUAAGGUCCCAAAGUCAUGGUUAAGUGGGAAACGAUGUGGGAAGGCCCAGACAGCCAGGAUGUUGGCUUAGAAGCAGCCAUCAUUUAAAGAAAGCGUAAUAGCUCACUGGUCGAGUCGGCCUGCGCGGAAGAUGUAACGGGGCUAAACCAUG
rnacentral:rRNA from 1 species